rnacentral:tRNA from 1 species
GGAGAGAUGGCAGAGUGGUCGAUUGCGGCGGUCUUGAAAACCGUUGAACUGUGAGGUUCCUGGGGUUCGAAUCCCUAUCUCUCCGC